GACGAACGCUGGCGGCGUGCCUAAUACAUGCAAGUAGAACGCUGAAGGAGGAGCUUGCUUCUCUGGAUGAGUUGCGAACGGGUGAGUAACGCGUAGGUAACCUGCCUGGUAGCGGGGGAUAACUAUUGGAAACGAUAGCUAAUACCGCAUAAUAGUAGAUGUUGCAUGACAUUUGCUUAAAAGGUGCAAUUGCAUCACUACCGGAUGGACCUGCGUUGUAUUAGCUAGUUGGUGAGGUAACGGCUCACCAAGGCGACGAUACAUAGCCGACCUGAGAGGGUGAUCGGCCACACUGGGACUGAGACACGGCCCAGACUCCUACGGGAGGCAGCAGUAGGGAAUCUUCGGCAAUGGACGGAAGUCUGACCGAGCAACGCCGCGUGAGUGAAGAAGGUUUUCGGAUCGUAAAGCUCUGUUGUAAGAGAAGAACGAGUGUGAGAGUGGAAAGUUCACACUGUGACGGUAUCUUACCAGAAAGGGACGGCUAACUACGUG
rnacentral:rRNA from 1 species